UUCUUGGGUCCAUUAGAGGAAGUAAAAGUCGUAACAAGGUUUCCGUAGGUGAACCUGCGGAAGGAUCAUUAAAGAUGUGAAACAGCAUGAAGGGUUGUUGCUGGCCUCUUGUUGUGGGGGGUAUGUGCACACCUGGAUUGCUUAAAAUCCACCCUUUUACACCUGUGCACACCCUGUAGCUUAGGAGGACCCUGUCAGGUCACCUCUGCUAUGCCUUUUUGUUUACACGCUCUUGUACAAAAGUUUUAUGGAAGUGGAUGCAAAACAAAUACAACUUUCAGCAACGGAUCUCUUGGCUCUCGCAUCGAUGAAGAACGCAGCGAAAUGCGAUAAGUAAUGUGAAUUGCAGAAUUCAGUGAAUCAUCGAAUCUUUGAACGCACCUUGCGCUCCUUGGUAUUCUGAGGAGCAUGCCUGUUUGAGUCUCAUGGAAUUUCUCAACUGCUUUGACUUGUCAGAGCAAUGGUUGGAUUUGGAGGAUGUUUGCUGGCGUCUCUUAGGCUUGUCAGCUCCUCUUGAAAAGAUGAAGCUUUCCGGUGGGUUCUGGCAAAGUGAUCUUCGAUGUGAUAAAUUCUAUACAUCGCUGAGAAACGCAGCCUUCCUACAUGGGAAAUAGUGUUAUGAAGGGACAUGUGAUGACCUUCGAUUGUGACCGAUUUGAGCUCAAAUCAGGUAGGACUACCCGCCGAACUUAAGCAUAUCAUAANNCCGGAAGNAAA
rnacentral:rRNA from 1 species